rnacentral:rRNA from 1 species
GACAGAGGGUGCAAACGUUGUUCGGAUUUACUGGGCGUAAAGCGUGUGUAGGCGGCUUGGCAAGUUGGAUGUGAAAUCCCGCGGCUCAACCGUGGACGUGCAUCCAAAACUGCUUCGCUAGAGUCUCGGAGAGGAAGGUGGAAUGCUUGGUGUAGAGGUGAAAUUCGUAGAUAUCAAGCAGAACACCUGCGGCGAAGGCGGCCUUCUGGACGAUGACUGACGCUGAGACACGAAAGCGUGGGGAGCAAACAGGAUAUGAUACCUAC